AUACGGAGGAUGCGAGCGUUAUCCGGAUUUAUUGGGUUUAAAGGGAGCGUAGGCGGGAGCUUAGGUCAGCGGUUAAAUGGUGCGGCUCAACCGUGCCCUGCCGUUGAAACUGGGUUUCUUGAGAGUGCAAGAGGCGGAUGGAAUUCAUGGUGUAGCGGUGAAAUGCUUAGAUAUCACACAGAACACCGAUUGCGAAGGCAUCUCACAAAUCCGCUAUUGACGCUGAGGCACGAAGGUGCGGGGAUCGAACAGGAUUAGAUACCCUGGUAGUCCGCACAGUAAACGAUGAUGACUCGCUGUCGGCGAUAGACAGUCGGUGGCCAAGCGAAAGCGAUAAGUCAUCCACCUGGGGAGUACGACCGCAAGGUUGAAACUCAAAUGAAUUGGCGGGG
rnacentral:rRNA from 1 species